GUUACUGAUUAACCACGUUAUAUAAGCGUGGGUUCACCGAAACCAGCGCGGUGCGUGAUAAACAAAAACAAACAUGUCAGGAGAGAACGUACGUGUGAUACGGGCACGAACAUCGAGAGUCAUUGAUUAAACAACACGGUAUCACGAUUAAAGGUUCAGAUCUUCCUGAGUAAAGCUGGUUCAGGCUGGACAAUACGAUCAUAAUUAUUAUUUUACUUAUUUUACUUUAUUUUUCAUCUUAAUUCUUUUAUCAGGCCUCGAGUUUUAGUCCCAACAGUUUUCCUCCAACGUGGAGUCGGUCCCAUAAAGGAUCCGUUCCAGCACGCUCGAUGGUUUCGGCGGAUCUGAGGAGGACGCUGUGGUACACGGAUCCAGACCGGAGCGUCGGUGACUCAGCUCACAUUAAGACGAGGUCUGAGAGCGACUUUCUCCUGACGCGUCUCGUCAUUAAGGCCGGCGUGGGCAGCGCGUCUCUCCCGGCCAAGUUCAGUCGCCCCUCUGCCUACGAAUCCCAUCAGAACUUCAGAAAAUGACUGCGGAUAAUUACGGCCGCUGCUUAUUCAGCAUCCAGAUUAAAAGAGUGAAGCCGAAAACAGGGUCUGCAGGAUCCAAUCCACCUACUGACAGAUUCAUUUGGACUGAAGAUGAAACUGGAGAUCAGGAUCAGGAGCCUGGAACUAAUUUAUAAUGCAGCACAGCGCCACCUUUUGUUAGAAUUAUUAUUAAUAAUAAUAAUUUAAUGAGAUUCACUCACUCACUGUCACCCACACAGACACGGGGAGAACAUGCAAACUCCACACAGAAAGGACCUGGACCGCCCCGCCUGGGGAUGGAACCCAGGACCUUCUUGCUGUGAGGCGACAGUGCCACCGUGCCGCCCCCCUUUUAAUAAGAUUAAUAAUGUGAAAAUAAUAAAAUGCUUUAGAAAAAGUGAUUAUUUAUUAUUCUUGUUUGUGAUUUCUGGGUGUAUUUAUGUGUUUUUAUUCAUAUAAAAUGUCGGAAGUGAUUCCUCAUAACUGCUGAAGUUACGCCCUCUGCUGGCUGAUUGAUGUGCUGCACAGAGACGGGGGAUAAAGUGUGACUCUCCAUGCCAGGUACUGCACACGUGUCGGAGGGGGCGUGUGUUAGUCACAAUCCUACUCGGUCAGGAGUGGAGGUCUGCAGCAGUAGAGGGGAAUCGGAUAUGACUAGAUUCAGUAGCUGGAUACUAAUAGAAGUGACGUCCUGCUGAUCCUCGGACUGACCGGACUCAGGUGAGGAUGCUGAUCGUCAUGGUAACGAGGACACUAAGCGGUACUCUACAGGCGCGCCUGGUUUUGGACGGGAUGAGUGAACAAUAUAAACACCCGAGUCUUCGUCUAUAAUCACAGUGAAAUCAGUCGGGUUGGAGGAAGCGUAGUGUGCUGUCUCUGGUAUGAGAGCAUCAGGUGCAGGAGUGUUGUUGGGAUGUUUAAAUACUGUUUAAACUACUGAAACUAAGCCAAACGAGAGGACGCAGCGCCUCAGUUAUUUAGGAUGUGGUGAGGAUUAGCGGUGGAGGUGCUCAGAAGCCGCCGCGCCAGUGAGGAUAUGAAAUACAGGAAGCUCAGAAACCCAAAAACACCAGGAGGUGGAAACGUGGUUCAGUGAGCAGCAGGAUGCAGGAGGUUCUCAGGGGAGCGGGUCACGCCAGGCGUCGGGGGGUUGAGACCCGGACCACGGGCGAUUCUGGUAACGACGGCAUCCAUCAUUAACGCUUCACUUCAGAAACACGUCACACUCAGUGAUCACGCCAAUUACAUCCAAUUUAGAUUCGGAAUGAGUUCCGGUUCCAGGUUCUCACAGCACUGGUUCACAUUCCGUCACACACACACACACACACACACACACACACACACACACUAAUCAUUCCAGCAACAGGAAGUAAAGCAGACAGGAAACCGACAGGAUCCCAGAGCAGGAAUGCUUACUUCACACAACAGAAGUAAAUAAUAAUAAAAAACUACGUUAUAAAAGAACCAAUCUUAGUCAAUCCUAGUGUUGGUCUGAAUUAACAUUCAUGCUGCGAUGCUUCCUCCACCGCGCUUCACAGGUAUAUAAUAAAGAAUGAGGUGCUGUUCCUGUUUAUUUGGCUGUCGAUUGCUGGUAAAAUGCUUCAUACGGAGAUCCGUAUCGCGCACAGAGUCACACGUUAUCCCC